rnacentral:lncRNA from 1 species
GAAGAAUAAAAUCGGCUUUAUUGAUGGGUCAAUAGCCAAACCUGACAACAGUGAUGAUCAGGUCAGCAAUUGGAUUCAAAACAACAAUAUAGUCAUUUCGUGGAUACUAAAUUCAGUUUCGAAAGAAAUUUCUGCAAGUGUGAUUUAUUCUGAAUCUGCCCAUGAUAUAUGGAUCGAUUUGAAGGAAAGGUUUCAACAAAGGAAUGGGCCUCGUAUAUUCCCAUUAAGGCGUGAGCUGAUGAACCUCACUCAGGGGCAAUUAUCUGUGGGUGUGUCUUUCACUAAAUUGAAAACAAUUUGGGAAUAAUUAAGCAACUAUAGACCAAUAUGCUCUUGUGGAAAAUGUUCUUGCGGUGGAAAUAAGAAGCUCUCAGAACAUUACCAGAUGGAGUAUGUCAUGAGUUUCUUGAUGGGGUUGAAUGAUACAUUUGCACAAGUUAGGGGUCAACUACUACUUAUGGACCCAAUGCCUUCCAUCAACAAGGUAUUUUCCCUUGUAUCUCAAGAAGAACACCAGCGCAAUAUAAGCAUUAAUGCUGGUAUCUCCAACACUGGAGACUCAAUGGCGUUCUAUGCCAAAAUCGAUCCAAAGAAAGGCGGCUUAGGACAGCACAAAUUUCAGAAGAAAGAAAAACCAAUUUGCACUUAUUGCAAACUUGCAGGGCACUCGGUGGAUAAAUGCUAUAAACUGCAUGGGUAUCCUCCUGGGUAUAAGGUGAAGCAGAGAUCCAACUUUACUGAUCAAGUGGACAAUCAGCCACGACAUAUUGCUGCUAAUCAAGUGGUAUUUGCGAACAAGUCAGAACAAGCACACACAAAUGCAGAAGAUUUCAUGCAUUCCUUGAACCAUACCCAAUAUCAACAAUUGAUGAAUAUGCUGGGCAACCAUCUGACUUCUGCAAAAACCAACACUGAAAAUGAUGAACAUACUAAUCAAGUCUAAGGUACUUGUUUUUCUAUUGCACUUAACCCAUGUCUAAAUUCUCCUAAGCACUGGGUUAUGGAUUCUGGGGCAACUAGCC